UGGCCUUCCCCACGCCCAACACUAUGGGACCUGGACAAGCCAUCCGGCCUCCGAAUGGACCUGUUCCUAUGUCCAAUGUGCCAAAUCAGUUGAGGCCCGGAUGCAGGUCCCUCAAGGGAUGGGACAGUUCAACCCCGUGACCAUGCAGAAUGUGCAGAUGUCCCAGUCACCAGUGGGAGCUCCACGGGCUGUGUCCCCUAUGACCCACCCCACUCAGAUGGGCAUGGGUUAACGUUCCAGCG